CAUCUAACCAAGUGGAGGGUGGUGCUGAAAACUUGACACCAUUGAUUGAAAAAUAAUAAUAAUAAAAAUAAUAACUGGAAAUGGCAUCUAAAUAGGCGACACCUAAAGAAAUAUGGGUCAAUUACGACCCGUAUACGACCAAAACCCGCCCCACCUAAACCUACUGCCAACCCACUGUCGUAGAUUGGAUAGCACAACUGGUGAAGCCACAGAGAAAGGCGGCACACCACUUCUCAUGCCCAUUCACAAGCGGCACCACUAGUCAUGCCCAUUCCACAGGCAGCACAGCUUUGACUUGUGGCAGCGGUGGGAUGGGACAAUGCCCAUGCCUGUGACUUGUGUUUUGGGGACCAUUAUAAGGUCCCCAAUGUCUC
rnacentral:lncRNA from 1 species